AGACUGCCUGACAAUGUGGUGCCUCUUCAGCAUAGUUUUGUUUCCCAUUUUGGCUGAAAAGACCAAUGCUGCAACCGAGUUGUUCCAAAAUGCUGAUUUUGAGAGCACCUCUUUUUCCAGUAACUGGGUUCCCAUUGACUGCAAACUGACGUCACGGACAGACGACACUUACCAUGGAAGUCGUAGCCUUAUGGUUUCUAACAGACAUCACCCUUGGUCAUCCCCCCGCCAAACAUUUGCUGUUACUCCCGGGAAGAACUACGUGGUUAGCAUGCAGUUCAAGCUCCUAAACCCUCCUACCGGACAUGCAUACGCAAAGGGCAUCCUCAUUACACUGUUUUGGCCAACAUGCCAUUGCAACAGUUGAAGUAUGGAUGGACCGAGAUAAGCGGCAAUUUUCAUGCCCAAAAUGGGGCUACCACUGCCGCGGUGUAUAUACAGAUACAAGACACAGAGGUCAACUUCCUGUUGGACGCUGCCAGUGCUGUGGAACUCUCACACAAUCCACACUGGCUCUCAGAUGCCACCCACAGAAUCAACACUCUCCGGAAGGCCCCCGUCUCAUUCAAACUUCCUCAAGGGGUAAACGUACACGGAAUAUCCAUUGAGCUUGUUCAAAAGAAGCGGGCUUUCGCGUUUGGGACGGCUGUAUCGGCAUCCUAUAUGACGGAUCAAUCACAGAGGACCUACCAAGACUUUGUCUACAAUAACUUUGAAUGGGCUGUGUUGGAAAACGCACUGAAAUGGAGACAAAUGGAAUGGACAGAGAACAAUAUCAACUAUGAUCGGCCAAUGAAUGCUAUAGCUGCAUUGCAAUCUCAUGGAAUCAAAGUUCGCGGACACAACAUGUUCUGGGGCGUUGACCAGUUUGUUCCUCAGUGGCUGAAAGCAAAAUCAAGCUCUGAAUUAUUAGCAUCUAUGAAAAAUCACGUACAUGAGGUCAUCUCAAGGACCACUGGAAAAUUAGAGCACUGGGACGUGAACAACGAGAAUCUUCACGGGGAUUGGUAUGAGCGCCACACCGCGGACCCGGACAUCACGGAGAAGAUGUUUCAGUGGAUCCACAACCAGGAGCCAGGCGUCAAGUUGUUCUUGAACGACUACCAAGUCAUCACCAGCUCAGCGGAAACCACGGUUUGCUCAAACUUUACCAAUGGCACGCUCAUUGCAACUUGUUAACUAUCUUAUUAAUAAUUUAAUUCACGUUCGUAUUGUGGUUUAAAGGGGGGUAAUUGUUAACUCAUAAGUGUCAAACCUUCCUCAUAUUUUUUUCAAAUUCCAACCACAAGAAAGUUUCAACGUAUUUUGAUCGUAGAGGGGUAAACUGACUAUUUUAAAAUUACCGUCUCCUUUUUAAUCAAAAUCUGAUUUGUUUACUGAAAAAAAUUAUGCAAUUAUUCAUUCAUUUAUUGUUAACCACCAUUCCACAAAACAAAUGCACUAUACAUUGCAUGUUGGUUAUUUUAACAGACUAUCAUUAAAUAGAUUCUUAAAGAAUAACUUGCCAGUAUUUGUGCACUUUUGAUCCUUUACCUCAAAUUUACAUAAAUUAAAUGAAUUGCCAAAAAGACAGCAUUUUAUGAAAGCGCCAAGCUAUAUUGUAUGGGAUAUGUUUUAUUUUUUUUUUACUUAAUAAUGUAUCAUAAAUCUUUUGAAUUUGAUUCAUUGAUCUUAGUUAAUCUUAAUUAUAUGCGAAACUCGAGAUGUUCUUUCAAGGCUCUGAAAGUCCAAGCUGCGCGUUUUAAAAAAGACGGGGUACCAGUUUAUGGACUUGGGCUUCAGGGACAUUUCUCCUCACACAAUAUUGACAUGGAUGUCCUUAAGUACCGCCUGGAUAAAGUUGCCGAGUCUGGAUUAAAAUUGUGGAUUACAGAGUUCACUCUUAGUGACACAGACAAUAACAGGAAAGCGGCAAACCUCGAGAAGGUCAUGACCCUGUUGUUCAGUCAUCCUGCGGUAGAGGGCAUCCUGUUGUGGGGAUUCUGGGAUCAAAAGAUCUGGCACAAAGAUAACGCUCUAUUUACUGGAACAAAUAUUACAGCAAAUGCUGCUGGACAGAAAUAUCUCGAUCUCUUCCAUAAAACGUGGAAAACAUACUUCACUCACAACAUUCAACCCGGCAACACCAUACAAACACACGCCUUUAAGGGAGACUAUCUUCUAAACAUUAAGAAAAACGGCCAUCUUAUACACCAGGAACACUUUAGUUUGGAUAGUACAGCGAAGGAUAUCAUCAUUAAUCUUACCAACGAUCAUCAAGAUGUAUCCCAUAUUUCAUUUGGUUAAAAGAAAACAGCAUUCAACUUCAAUUGAAUGUGUAGAAUAUUUAAUAAAUUGAAAGAUAU
rnacentral:misc_RNA from 1 species